GACAAUUUGGACUCAAAUGAAAAAAGUACAUGAUUUUGUAAUUAUGCUAGCAAACUCAUGGUGAGGACUGAAACCAUGAGGGCAGCAAUACUUUUGGUACUCUGUAGAUAAAGGAAAAGUACUGCACUCUUUUAACUGAAUUGCAGCUAUCAUGUAUUAGGCUAUUAGCUAUAGUGAUCCACUCAAUCCAUGUGUGUGCAUAGAUGUCAAAGAACUUGCAAUAUGA
rnacentral:misc_RNA from 1 species